rnacentral:lncRNA from 1 species
GCAAAUCAAACUUUCAAUUUUUAAGUGAAACACGUCAUCCUUAUUGCUCCUAUGUUACCUCACCUUUCCCAUUCCCCACCGUUAACAAAAAUACAAGUGUUGACCAUCAAAAACACCCUAGCCAGCCAUACACCCCCAUUUCCCCAUUUUAUUCUUUUUCUUUCUCCUCUCCACCCUUCUUUUCUCUCUUUUGACAACCACCACCACCACCCUUUUUCUUUUCUCCACCGAAAGCUUAUUUGCACCACCAUAUCACCACCGCCCACAACCAACCUCUACUUCUCUUUUCCUUUUGCUUCCCCUCUCCUCUUCCACCAUAUGUCGCAUUGGUCUUUGCUGCAACCACCGUGGGCCAUCUCUUCCUCCACCAUUUUCCUUUUUCUUCACUCUUUUCUCUUUUCUUUCAAUUGAAAGUGACUGAACCCACUUCCCUACUUGUAUUUUCGCACCACCAUCGAACUACCACACCCUAACGCCAUCGCCGCCACUGCCACCGAUACUGAUUUCUUCUUCUUUUUAUUUCUUUU